rnacentral:ncRNA from 1 species
ACAAAGGCUCUUUUAAGAGCCACCCACAAGAACUUCAAAAGAUCC